UACAGGGGGUGCAAGCGUUGUCCGGAAUUAUUGGGCGUAAAGAGCUCGUAGGCGGUUUGUUGCGUCGGCUGUGAAAUCCCGAGGCUCAACCUCGGGUCUGCAGUCGAUACGAGCAAACUAGAGUGUUGCAGGGGAGACUGGAAUUCCUGGUGUAGCGGUGAAAUGCGCAGAUAUCAGGAGGAACACCGGUGGCGAAGGCGGGUCUCUGGGCAACAACUGACGCUGAGGAGCGAAAGCGUGGGGAGCGAACAGG
rnacentral:rRNA from 1 species